GGCCCAUCCCCAUGGUGACCGAGCUGUAUAUAAGGAGGCGCAUCCGCCCAAGUGCCGCAGGUUCUCUUACAUCGACCGCUUAAGAGUCGCGCUGUAAGAAGCAACACCUCCUCCUCGCCUCCGCCAUCCACCCGGCAGCCGCGAAGCAGCAACCAUGCGUGAGUGCAUCUCCAUCCACGUCGGCCAGGCUGGUGUCCAGAUCGGCAAUGCCUGCUGGGAGCUCUACUGCCUGGAACAUGGCAUCCAGCCUGAUGGCCAGAUGCCAAGCGACAAGACCAUUGGGGGAGGAGAUGACUCCUUCAACACCUUCUUCAGUGAGACAGGAGCUGGCAAGCACGUGCCCCGGGCAGUGUUCGUAGACCUGGAACCCACAGUUAUUGAUGAAGUUCGCACUGGCACCUACCGCCAGCUCUUCCACCCAGAGCAGCUCAUCACAGGCAAGGAAGAUGCUGCCAAUAACUAUGCCCGUGGCCACUACACCAUUGGCAAGGAGAUCAUUGACCUUGUCUUGGACAGAAUUCGCAAGCUGGCUGACCAGUGCACCGGUCUCCAGGGCUUCUUGGUUUUCCACAGCUUUGGUGGGGAACUGGCUCUGGGUUCACCUCCUGCUGCUGAUGGAGAGGCUCUCUGUCGACACGGAAAGAAGUCCAAGCUGGAGUUCUCCAUUUACCCAGCCCCCAGGUUUCCACUGCUGUGGUUGAGCCCUAUAAUUCCAUCCUCACCACCCAUACCACCCUGGAGCACUCUGAUUGUGCCUUCAUGGUAGACAAUGAGGCCAUCUAUGACAUCUGUCGUAGAAACCUCGACAUUGAGCGCCCAACCUACACUAACUUAAACAGGUUGAUAGGUCAAAUUGUGUCUUCCAUCACUGCUUCCCUCAGAUUUGAUGGGGCCCUGAAUGUUGAUCUGACAGAAUUCCAGACCAACCUGGUGCCCUACCCUCGUAUCCACUUCCCUCUGGCCACUUAUGCCCCUGUCAUCUCUGCUGAGAAAGCCUACCAUGAGCAGCUUUCUGUAGCAGAGAUCACCAAUGCCUGCUUUGAGCCAGCCAACCAGAUGGUGAAAUGUGACCCUCGCCAUGGUAAAUACAUGGCUUGCUGCCUGCUGUACCGUGGUGAUGUGGUCCCCAAAGAUGUCAAUGCUGCCAUUGCCACCAUCAAGACCAAGCGUACCAUCCAGUUUGUGGACUGGUGUCCCACUGGCUUCAAGGUUGGCAUUAAUUACCAGCCUCCCACUGUGGUCCCUGGUGGCGACCUGGCCAAGGUCCAGAGAGCUGUGUGCAUGCUGAGCAACACCACAGCCAUUGCUGAGGCCUGGGCUCGCCUGGAUCACAAGUUUGAUCUGAUGUAUGCCAAGCGUGCCUUUGUGCACUGGUACGUGGGUGAGGGUAUGGAGGAGGGAGAGUUCUCUGAGGCCCGUGAGGACAUGGCUGCCCUAGAGAAGGAUUAUGAGGAGGUUGGUGUGGAUUCUGUGGAGGGUGAGGGUGAGGAAGAAGGAGAGGAAUACUAAAUUAAAUGUCACAAGGUGCUGCUUUCACAGGGAUGUUUAUUCUGGUCCAACAUAGAAAGUUGUGGGCUGAUCAGUUAAUUUGUAUGUGGCAAUGUGUGCUUUCAUACAGUUACUGACUUUAAGUGUGAAUGAUUUGUCAGAGACCCGAGCCGUCCACUUCACUGAUGGGUUUUAAAUAAAAUACUCCCUGUCUUAAAAGUU